GGCGCUGAUGGUGUAGGGGUUAAGCGCGCGACCAUAUACAGAGGCUACAGUCCUCGAAUGGCAGCUGUCCCGGGUUCGAGUCCCGGACCCGGCGACA